UACGUAGGGUGCGAGCGUUGUCCGGAAUUAUUGGGCGUAAAGGGCUCGUAGGCGGUCUGUCGCGUCGGGAGUGAAAACUCAGGGCUUAACCCUGAGCCUGCUUCCGAUACGGGCAGACUAGAGGUAUGCAGGGGAGAACGGAAUUCCUGGUGUAGCGGUGAAAUGCGUAGAUAUCUGGAGGAACACCGGUGGCGAAGGCGGAUCUCUGGGCCUUACCUGACGCUGAGGCGCGAAAGCUAGGGGAGCGAACGAGG
rnacentral:rRNA from 1 species